AGUGAACGCUGGCGGCAGGCCUAACACAUGCAAGUCGAGCGGCAGCGCGGGGGCAACCCUGGCGGCGAGCGGCGGACGGGUGAGGAAUUCGUCGGAAUCUGCCUUUUUGUGGGGGAUAACGUAGUGAAACUUACGCUAAUACCGCAUACGUCCUACGGGAGAAAGUGGGGGACCGCAAGGCCUCACGCAGAAAGAUGAGCCGACGACCGAUUAGCUAGUUGGUGGGGUAAAGGCCCACCAAGGCGACGAUCGGUAGCUGGUCUGAGAGGAUGAUCAGCCACACUGGGACUGAGACACGGCCCAGACUCCUACGGGAGGCAGCAGUGGGGAAUAUUGGACAAUGGGCGCAAGCCUGAUCCAGCCAUGCCGCGUGUGUGAAGAAGGCCUUCGGGUUGUAAAGCACUUUUGUCCGGAAAGAAAUCCCUGGAGCUAAUACCUUCGGGGGAUGACGGUACCGGAAGAAUAAGCACCGGCUAACUUCGUG
rnacentral:rRNA from 1 species